CCUACGGGUGGCAGCAGUGAGGAAUAUUGGUCAAUGGACGAGAGUCUGAACCAGCCAAGUAGCGUGAAGGAUGACUGCCCUAUGGGUUGUAAACUUCUUUUAUAUGGGAAUAAAACGUUCCACGUGUGGGAUUUUGUAUGUCCCAUAUGACUCAGGAUCGGCUAACUCCGUGCCAGCAGCCGCGGUAAUACGGAGGAGCCGAGCGUUAUCCGGAUUUAUUGGGGUUAAAGGGAGCGUAGGUGGAUUGUUAAGUCAGUUGUGAAAGUUUGCGGCUCAACCGUAAAAUUGCAGUUGAAACUGGCAGUCUGGAGUACAGUAGAGGUAGGCGGAAUUCGUGGUGUAGCGGUGAAAUGCUUAGAUAUCACGAAGAACUCCGAUUGCGAAGGCAGUUCACUGGACUGCAACUGACACUGAGGCUCGAAAGUGUGGGUAUCAAACAGGAUUAGAUACCCGAGUAGUC
rnacentral:rRNA from 1 species